rnacentral:rRNA from 1 species
UACGAAGGGUGCAAGCGUUACUCGGAAUUACUGGGCGUAAAGCGUGCGUAGGUGGUGAGUUAAGUCUGUCGUGAAAGCCCCGGGCUCAACCUGGGAAUGGCGAUGGAUACUGGCUCGCUAGAGUGCGGUAGAGGAGAGUGGAAUUCCCGGUGUAGCAGUGAAAUGCGUAGAGAUCGGGAGGAACAUCAGUUGCGAAGGCGGCUCUCUGGACCAGCACUGACACUGAGGCACGAAAGCGUGGGGAGCAAGCAGG